ACGUGUUCUCCGACGGCAAAGGUGCGCUCGGUCACCCUGGUGGCCAAGCGCCCUGAGCUGCUCGAACCUUUUCAAACCCACCGUGCACUUUGGUCGGCAGAGGGGCUUUGCGGCCCUGAGCCGGAUCUCACAUACUCUUAACUGCGGAAAGUCUACGGCGAGCCUUUUGUGCCGCCCUAAUCUUUGA
rnacentral:misc_RNA from 1 species